UACAGAGGGUGCGAGCGUUAAUCGGAAUUACUGGGCGUAAAGCGCGCGUAGGCGGUUUUGUAAGUCGGGUGUGAAAUCCCCAAGCUUAACUUGGGAACUGCACUCGAGACUGCAUGGCUAGAGUAUGGGAGAGGGAAGUGGAAUUUCAGGUGUAGCGGUGAAAUGCGUAGAUAUCAGGAGGAAUACCUAUGGCGAAAGCAGGUAUCUGGGCCACAACUGACGCUGAGCUGCGAAAGCUAGGGGAGCAAACAGG
rnacentral:rRNA from 1 species